CAGCAGUCAUCCCAGUGACUAAGAAGGCAAGCAAACUAAGAAGCAGCCUGAUCUCCCAUUGCUCUCUGUGGCUUCAUCCCAAAUAAUGUCAGCCGGAUGUUGAGCAGGCAGCAUAUGAUUGGACGCUGCAUCCAAAUGUAUGAAGAGAAGGAUGGCAAAAAGAUGCAAAAUAUGAGUCAAGUAGGAGAAAUAUUUCUUGGCUAUGCAAGCAUGCACAAGCAACCUUCAAUGACAGCACCAGGACAGUGCAGCAUAACCUGUUUCAAGACCAGAAAAGGAGACACACAAAACAUUUGCAGUCAGCCUUUGAGAGGCCAUCUCGUGAUCAGAGCAGGAGCAGGCAGCCUGCAGACUCAAGACAUACUUCCAACAUGACCACGGCGGGUGUUUUUGUUCUCCUCUCCUUUGUGCUUUGUUGUUUCUCAGGUGAGUAACUCUUAUGGCACCACAGAGU
rnacentral:lncRNA from 14 species